UACAGAGGGUGCGAGCGUUGUCCGGAAUCACUGGGCGUAAAGGGCGCGUAGGUGGCCCGACAAGUCCGUGGUGAAAGCUCGACGCUCAACGUCGAGUCGGCCAUGGAUACUGUUGGGCUGGAGCACUGUAGAGGCUCAUGGAAUUCCGGGUGUAGCGGUGGAAUGCGUAGAGAUCCGAAAGAACACCGGUGGCGAAGGCGGUGAGCUGGGCAGUUGCUGACACUGAGGAGCGAAAGCGUGGGGAGCAAACAGG
rnacentral:rRNA from 1 species